AUUUUAAUAGUUUAAUAAAAACAUUGAUUUGUGGAAUCAAAUAUAUAUAUAUAUAUUAAUUAUAUUUAAUAUA
rnacentral:tRNA from 1 species